rnacentral:rRNA from 1 species
UACAGAGGUCCCAAGCGUUGUUCGGAUUCAUUGGGCGUAAAGGGUGCGUAGGCGGCGCGGUAAGUCGGGUGUGAAAUCUCGGAGCUUAACUCCGAAACUGCAUUCGAUACUGCCGUGCUUGAGGACUGGAGAGGAGACUGGAAUUUAGGGUGUAGCGGUGAAAUGCGUAGAUAUCGUAAGGAAGACCAGUGGCGAAGGCGGGUCUCUGGACAGUUCCUGACGCUGAGGCACGAAGGCCAGGGGAGCAAACGGG